GACGGAGGAUGCGAGCGUUGUCCGGAAUUAUUGGGCGUAAAGAGUUCGUAGGCGGUAUAAUAAGUCAGGUGUUAAAGGCCAAGGCUCAACCUUGGUAUGGCACUUGAAACUGUUAUGCUGGAGGCUAGUAGAGGCAAGGGGAAUUCCCAGUGUAGCGGUGAAAUGCGUAGAUAUUGGGAGGAACACCAGUGGCGAAAGCGCCUUGCUGGGCUAGACCUGACGCUGAGGAACGAAAGCCGGGGGAGCGAAUGGG
rnacentral:rRNA from 1 species